UACGGGGGUGGCAAGCGUUGUUCGGAAUUACUGGGCGUAAAGGGCUCGUAGGCGGCCAACUAGGUCGGCCGGGAAAUCCCCCGGCUUAACCUGGGAACUGCGUCUGAUACUGGGAGGCUUGAGUAUGGGAGAGGGAUGUAGAAUUCCAGGUGUAGCGGUGAAAUGCGUAGAUAUCUGGAGGAAUACCGGUGGCGAAGGCGGCAUCCUGGACCAUAACUGACGCUGAGGCGCGAAAGCUAGGGGAGCAAACGGG
rnacentral:rRNA from 1 species